GCCUUCUCUGUGCGGGGAGCUCUGUGAGUGACAUCUGAGAAAUGGAGUAAUGAGCAAAGCCCCUCGUGAGUGCUGAGGUUUUGCAGCUGUGCCCAUUCAAUAAUGGGUUUGAGGAUCCAUUUGGAAAUGCCACUCUUGGUUUAUGAUAUGCAUUUAUUUCCACUGAAACUCCUCCAUGAAAAAGAAGCAAUUGAAGAGGUGAACUUACAAGUGUUACAAUAAAAGAACUGCUACUUUUAAAAACAUUCCCACUCAAUUUCUGGAAGCAGGAUAGCAGAGAAGCAUAAAAAAUAUGAGGUGCCACAUCAGAAGGGGGGAAAUGACAAAAAGGAAAAAUUCAGGCAUCAUUAGUCAAUAAGAGAGCUUUUUGUUCUCAAACGACUCUGACCAUUCCCUUGGUAGGAAAAAUGGACACUGACAAAGCAUGUUCAGUUCAGUUGCUCAGUUGUGUCCAACUCUUUGCGACCCCAUGGGCUGCAGCACACCAGGCCUCCCUGUCCAAUCACCGAUUCCCGGAGUUUACUCAAACUCAUGUCCAUUAAAUUGGUGAU
ensembl:lncRNA